AUUGAACGCUGGCGGCAUGCCUUACACAUGCAAGUCGAACGGUAACAGGUCUUCGGACGCUGACGAGUGGMGAACGGGUGAGUAAUACAUCGGAACGUGCCCAGUCGUGGGGGAUAACUACUCGAAAGAGUAGCUAAUACCGCAUACGAUCUGAGGAUGAAAGCGGGGGACCUUCGGGCCUCGCGCGAUUGGAGCGGCCGAUGGCAGAUUAGGUAGUUGGUGGGAUAAAAGCUUACCAASCCGACGAUCUGUAGCUGGUCUGAGAGGACGACCAGCCACACUGGGACUGAGACACGGCCCAGACUCCUACGGGAGGCAGCAGUGGGGAAUUUUGGACAAUGGGCGAAAGCCUGAUCCAGCAAUGCCGCGUGCAGGAUGAAGGCCUUCGGGUUGUAAACUGCUUUUGUACGGAACGAAAAAGCUCCUUCUAAUACAGGGGGCCCAUGACGGUACCGUAAGAAUAAGCA
rnacentral:rRNA from 1 species